UACGUAGGGUGCGAGCGUUAAUCGGAAUUACUGGGCGUAAAGCGUGCGCAGGCGGUGAUGUAAGACCGAUGUGAAAUCCCCGGGCUAACCUGGGAACUGCAUUGGUGACUGCAUCGCUCGAGUAUGGCAGAGGGGGGUAGAAUUCCACGUGUAGCAGUGAAAUGCGUAGAGAUGUGGAGGAAUACCGAUGGCGAAGGCAGCCCCCUGGGUCAAUACUGACGCUCAUGCACGAAAGCGUGGGGAGCAAACAGG
rnacentral:rRNA from 1 species